UUAAGUUAUUAAGGGCGCACGGUGGAUGCCUUGGCACUAGAAGCCGAUGAAGGACGUUACUAACGACGAUAUGCUUUGGGGAGCUGUAAGUAAGCUUUGAUCCAGAGAUUUCCGAAUGGGGAAACCCAGCAUGAGUUAUGUCAUGUUAUCGAUAUGUGAAUACAUAGCAUAUCAGAAGGCACACCCGGAGAACUGAAACAUCUUAGUAACCGGAGGAAGAGAAAGAAAAUUCGAUUCCCUUAGUAGCGGCGAGCGAAACGGGAAGAGCCCAAACCAACAAGCUUGCUUGUUGGGGUUGUAGGACACUCUAUACGGAGUUACAAAGGACGACAUUAGACGAAUCAUCUGGAAAGAUGAAUCAAAGAAGGUAAUAAUCCUGUAGUCGAAAAUGUUGUCUCUCUUGAGUGGAUCCUGAGUACGACGGAGCACGUGAAAUUCCGUCGGAAUCUGGGAGGACCAUCUCCUAAGGCUAAAUACUCUCUAGUGACCGAUAGUGAACCAGUACCGUGAGGGAAAGGUGAAAAGCACCCCGGAAGGGGAGUGAAAUAGAACCUGAAACCGUGUGCUUACAAGUAGUCAGAGCCCGUUAAUGGGUGAUGGCGUGCCUUUUGUAGAAUGAACCGGCGAGUUACGAUUUGAUGCAAGGUUAAGCAGUAAAUGUGGAGCCGUAGCGAAAGCGAGUCUGAAUAGGGCGUUUAGUAUUUGGUCGUAGACCCGAAACCAGGUGAUCUACCCUUGGUCAGGUUGAAGUUCAGGUAACACUGAAUGGAGGACCGAACCGACUUACGUUGAAAAGUGAGCGGAUGAACUGAGGGUAGCGGAGAAAUUCCAAUCGAACCUGGAGAUAGCUGGUUCUCUCCGAAAUAGCUUUAGGGCUAGCCUCAAGUGAUGAUUAUUGGAGGUAGAGCACUGUUUGGACGAGGGGCCCCUCUCGGGUUACCGAAUUCAGACAAACUCCGAAUGCCAAUUAAUUUAACUUGGGAGUCAGAACAUGGGUGAUAAGGUCCGUGUUCGAAAGGGAAACAGCCCAGACCACCAGCUAAGGUCCCAAAAUAUAUGUUAAGUGGAAAAGGAUGUGGCGUUGCCCAGACAACUAGGAUGUUGGCUUAGAAGCAGCCAUCAUUUAAAGAGUGCGUAAUAGCUCACUAGUCGAGUGACACUGCGCCGAAAAUGUACCGGGGCUAAACAUAUUACCGAAGCUGUGGAUUGUCCUUUGGACAAUGGUAGGAGAGCGUUCUAAGGGCGUUGAAGCAUGAUCGUAAGGACAUGUGGAGCGCUUAGAAGUGAGAAUGCCGGUGUGAGUAGCGAAAGACGGGUGAGAAUCCCGUCCACCGAUUGACUAAGGUUUCCAGAGGAAGGCUCGUCCGCUCUGGGUUAGUCGGGUCCUAAGCUGAGGCCGACAGGCGUAGGCGAUGGAUAACAGGUUGAUAUUCCUGUACCACCUAUAAUCGUUUUAAUCGAUGGGGGGACGCAGUAGGAUAGGCGAAGCGUGCGAUUGGAUUGCACGUCUAAGCAGUAAGGCUGAGUAUUAGGCAAAUCCGGUACUCGUUAAGGCUGAGCUGUGAUGGGGAGAAGACAUUGUGUCUUCGAGUCGUUGAUUUCACACUGCCGAGAAAAGCCUCUAGAUAGAAAAUAGGUGCCCGUACCGCAAACCGACACAGGUAGUCAAGAUGAGAAUUCUAAGGUGAGCGAGCGAACUCUCGUUAAGGAACUCGGCAAAAUGACCCCGUAACUUCGGGAGAAGGGGUGCUCUUUAGGGUUAACGCCCAGAAGAGCCGCAGUGAAUAGGCCCAAGCGACUGUUUAUCAAAAACACAGGUCUCUGCUAAACCGUAAGGUGAUGUAUAGGGGCUGACGCCUGCCCGGUGCUGGAAGGUUAAGAGGAGUGGUUAGCUUCUGCGAAGCUACGAAUCGAAGCCCCAGUAAACGGCGGCCGUAACUAUAACGGUCCUAAGGUAGCGAAAUUCCUUGUCGGGUAAGUUCCGACCCGCACGAAAGGCGUAACGAUUUGGGCACUGUCUCAACGAGAGACUCGGUGAAAUCAUAGUACCUGUGAAGAUGCAGGUUACCCGCGACAGGACGGAAAGACCCCGUGGAGCUUUACUGUAGCCUGAUAUUGAAAUUCGGCACAGCUUGUACAGGAUAGGUAGGAGCCUUUGAAACGUGAGCGCUAGCUUACGUGGAGGCGCUGGUGGGAUACUACCCUAGCUGUGUUGGCUUUCUAACCCGCACCACUUAUCGUGGUGGGAGACAGUGUCAGGCGGGCAGUUUGACUGGGGCGGUCGCCUCCUAAAAGG
rnacentral:rRNA from 1 species